rnacentral:misc_RNA from 1 species
AGUCGUAACAAGGUUUCCGUAGGUGAACCUGCGGAAGGAUCAUUAAAGAGUAAGGGUGCUCAGCGCCCGACCUCCAACCCUUUGUUGUUAAAACUACCUUGUUGCUUUGGCGGGACCGCUCGGUCUCGAGCCGCUGGGGAUUCGUCCCAGGCGAGCGCCCGCCAGAGUUAAACCAAACUCUUGUUAUUUAACCGGUCGUCUGAGUUAAAAUUUUGAAUAAAUCAAAACUUUCAACAACGGAUCUCUUGGUUCUCGCAUCGAUGAAGAACGCAGCGAAAUGCGAUAAGUAAUGUGAAUUGCAGAAUUCAGUGAAUCAUCGAAUCUUUGAACGCACAUUGCGCCCCUUGGUAUUCCGAGGGGCAUGCCUGUUCGAGCGUCAUUACACCACUCAAGCUAUGCUUGGUAUUGGGCGUCGUCCUUAGUUGGGCGCGCCUUAAAGACCUCGGCGAGGCCACUCCGGCUUUAGGCGUAGUAGAAUUUAUUCGAACGUCUGUCAAAGGAGAGGAACUCUGCCGACUGAAACCUUUAUUUUUCUAGGUUGACCUCGGAUCAGGUAGGGAUACCCGCUGAACUUAAGCAUAUCAAUAAGCGGAGGAA